rnacentral:rRNA from 1 species
UACAGAGGUCUCAAGCGUUGUUCGGAUUCAUUGGGUGUAAAGGGUGCGUAGGCGGCGCGGUAAGUCGGGUGUGAAAUCUCGGAGCUUAACUCCGAAACUGCAUUCGAUACUGUCGUGCUUGAGGACUGGAGAGGAGACUGGAAUUUACGGUGUAGCGGUGAAAUGCGUAGAUAUCGUAAGGAAGACCAGUGGCGAAGGCGGGUCUCUGGACAGUUCCUGACGCUGAGGCACGAAGGUCAGGGGAGCAAACGGG